GCGAGCGAAGAGGGACCGAACUCGUUGCCGAAUCGGGUCUCAAGGGCCUUGAGUUGUGGCAAUAACGCGGUGUAUUGAUUGGUGCGGGACUGGCGAAAUUCAACGCGCAAAGCAAACCCAUUGCUGAACACAACCCUUCAUGUGAGUAUUGAGCCAUAGAAGGUGUUAGCCCAUUGAGCCAGAAACCCGAGUACCUCACUUACAUCGAGUGAAGAGAGUAGCACUGCUUGGGAGUGCAGUGUAAAGUGGCAGGUAUGUGUCUGCCAAAGUUAAAUACAGAGUAGGAAGACCGAUAUCGAACAAGUAGCGUGAGCGAAAGUUUGAAAAGCACUUUGGAAAGAGAGUGACAUAGAACCUGAAGUCGUGACAAUGGCAAUGAAAGUGCCUCCAUUUCAUUGGUCAAAACCACCCCUGAAGCAUUAUCCGAGGCGACCUCAAAACCGCAGCGGCAACUCAAGUGCAGACACGGGGGAUUGGUGAAAUGAGCUGGAGUAAAGCGGUGCAGCACCGGCGUGCCUCUCUAAACAAGUAGCGCGACGGCGAGCGUGUCGCUUUCCAGUGAUGCUCAAUGUUGACAUCGAAAAUGGGGUAUCUUCACCCGUCUUGAAACACGGACCAAGGAGUCAAACAGACGCGCAAGGGAGAAGAUAUUCGAUCGCAGUACUUCUCUCGUACUGAAAGGGAGCAUCCUUAGGGUGCGAUUGGUGUGCACACAACACGAAUGCCCAACACCGUCCGGCCCGCGCGCGGGUUGAGAUUGAGUGUGCCUGUUUGGACCCGAAAGGUGGUGAACUAUGCCUGAACAUGGUGAAGCCCGGGGAAACCCAGGUGGAAGCCAGUAGCGGUGCUGACGUGCAAAUCGCUCGUAUGAUUUGGGUAUCGGAGCGAAAGACUCAUCGAACCACCUAGUAGCUGGUUCACAUCGAAGUUUCCCUCAGGAUAGCUGGUGCUAGAGUCACAUAUUAGUAUUGUGCGGUAAAGCAAAUGAUUAGAGGCAUUGGUGUUCUUAGAAUAUCGACCUAUUCUCAAACUUUAAAUGUGCAAAAAACCCAGUCUUAUAGCCAAAGUCGGAAGGCUGGGUAAAACGCAUUAAGGCACCAAGUGGGCCUUCUUCGGUAAGCGGAGCAGGCGAUGCGGAAUGAACCGCUAAGGGAUAUGUGGUGUCAAAACUUUUGGCUCAUUCUCGAUACGUGAAAAGGUG
rnacentral:rRNA from 1 species